rnacentral:rRNA from 1 species
UUGAGCUCGGAUCAGGUAGGGAUACCCGCUGAACUUAAG